rnacentral:rRNA from 1 species
CAGUAACCGCGGUAAUACGAAGGGGGCUAGCGUUGUUCGGAUUUACUGGGCGUAAAGGGCGCGUAGGCGGGCGAAUAAGUCAGGGGUGAAAUCCCCCGGCUCAACCGGGGAAGUGGAGCCGAAACGACCCGUCUGGAGGGACGUAGGGGGACCUGGAACUUCCGGUGGAGCGGUGAAAUGCGUUGAGAUCGGAAGGAACGCCCGUGGCGAAAGCGAGGUCCUGGACGUCUGCUGACGCUGAGACGCGAAAGCCAGGGGAGCGAACGGGAUUAGAUACCCCGGUAGUCCCUGUCUCUUAUAC